UACAGAGGUCCCGAGCGUUGUUCGGAUUCACUGGGCGUAAAGGGUGCGUAGGUGGUGAGGUAAGUCGGAUGUGAAAUCUCCGAGCUCAACUCGGAAAUGGCAUUGGAAACUACCUUGCUUGAGGGUUGGAGGGGGGACUGGAAUACUUGGUGUAGCAGUGAAAUGCGCAGAUAUCAGGAGGAACACCGGUGGCGAAGGCGGAUCUCUGGGCCAUUACUGACGCUGAGGAGCGAAAGCGUGGGGAGCGAACAGG
rnacentral:rRNA from 1 species